AUUGAACGCUGGCGGCAUGCCUUACACAUGCAAGUCGAACGGCAGCAUAGGAGCUUGCUCCUGAUGGCGAGUGGCGAACGGGUGAGUAAUAUAUCGGAACGUGCCCUAGAGUGGGGGAUAACUAGUCGAAAGACUAGCUAAUACCGCAUACGAACUACGGAUGAAGGAGGGGGAUCGCAAGACCUCCUGCCACUGGAACGGCCGAUAUCUGAUUAGCUAGUUGGUGGGGUAAAAGCUCCCCAAGGCGACGAUAAGUAGCUGGUCUGAGAGGACGACCAGCCACACUGGGACUGAGACACGGCCCAGACUCCUACGGGAGGCAGCAGUGGGGAAUUUUGGACAAUGGGGGCAACCCUGAUCCGGCAAUGCCGCGUGAGUGAAGAAGGCCUUCGGGUUGUAAAGCUCUUUUGUCAGGGAAGAAACGGUUCUGGAUAAUACCUGGGACUAAUGACGGUACCUGAAGAAUAAGCACCGGCUAACUACGUGCCAGCCGCCGCAGUAA
rnacentral:rRNA from 1 species